GAUGAACGCUGGCGGCGUGCCUAAUACAUGCAAGUCGAGCGAACAGACGAGGAGCUUGCUCCUCUGACGUUAGCGGCGGACGGGUGAGUAACACGUGGAUAACCUACCUAUAAGACUGGGAUAACUUCAGGAAACCGGAGCUAAUACCGGAUAAUAUAUUGAACCGCAUGGUUCAAUAGUGAAAGACGGUUUUGCUGUCACUUAUAGAUGGAUCCGCGCCGCAUUAGCUAGUUGGUAAGGUAACGGCUUACCAAGGCAACGAUGCGUAGCCGACCUGAGAGGGUGAUCGGCCACACUGGAACUGAGACACGGUCCAGACUCCUACGGGAGGCAGCAGUAGGGAAUCUUCCGCAAUGGGCGAAAGCCUGACGGAGCAACGUCGCGUGAGUGAUGAAGGUCUUCGGAUCGUAAAACUCUGUUAUUAGGGAAGAACAAAUGUGUAAGUAACUAUGCACGUCUUGACGGUACCUAAUCAGAAAGCCACGGCUAACUACGUG
rnacentral:rRNA from 1 species